ACACAUGCAAGUCGAGCGGUAACAGAUCUAGCUUGCUGGAUGCUGACGAGCGGCGGACGGGUGAGUAAUGCAUAGGAAUCUGCCCGAUAGUGGGGGAUAACCUGGGGAAACCCAGGCUAAUACCGCAUACGUCCUACGGGAGAAAGGGGGCUCCGGCUCCCGCUAUGGGAUGAGCCUAUGUCGGAUUAGCUAGUUGGUGAGGUAACGGCUCACCAAGGCCACGAUCCGUAGCUGGUCUGAGAGGAUGAUCAGCCACAUCGGGACUGAGACACGGCCCGAACUCCUACGGGAGGCAGCAGUGGGGAAUAUUGGACAAUGGGGGCAACCCUGAUCCAGCCAUGCCGCGUGUGUGAAGAAGGCCCUCGGGUUGUAAAGCACUUUCAGCGAGGAAGAACGCCUAGCGGUUAAUACCCGCUAGGAAAGACAUCACUCGCAGAAGAAGCACCGGCUAACUCCGUGCCAGCAGCCGCGGUAAUACGGAGGGUGCAAGCGUUAAUCGGAAUUACUGGGCGUAAAGCGCGCGUAGGUGGCUUGAUAAGCCGGUUGUGAAAGCCCCGGGCUCAACCUGGGAACGGCAUCCGGAACUGUCAAGCUAGAGUGCAGGAGAGGAAGGUAGAAUUCCCGGUGUAGCGGUGAAAUGCGUAGAGAUCGGGAGGAAUACCAGUGGCGAAGGCGGCCUUCUGGACUGACACUGACACUGAGGUGCGAAAGCGUGGGUAGCAAACAGGAUUAGAUACCCUGGUAGUCCACGCCGUAAACGAUGUCGACCAGCCGUUGGGUGCCUAGCGCACUUUGUGGCGAAGUUAACGCGAUAAGUCGACCGCCUGGGGAGUACG
rnacentral:rRNA from 1 species